ACCCGCUGAACUUAAGCAUAUUAAUAAGCGGAGGAAAAGAAACUAACAAGGAUUCCCCUAGUAACGGCGAGUGAAGCGGGAAGAGCUCAAAUUUGAAAUCUCGCGGGGCGACCCGUGCGAAUUGUAGUUUAGAGAAGCGUUUUCGGGGGCGACGCGGGCAUAAGUCCUUUGGAAGGAGGCAUCGUAGAGGGUGACAAUCCCGUCUGUGGUCCGACGCUCGCUCCUGUGCGAUACGCUUUCGAAGAGUCGGUUUGUUUGGGAAUGCAAACCAAAAGGGGUGGUAAAUACCAUCUAAAGCUAAAUACAGGCGAGAGACCGAUAGCGAACAAGUACCGUGAGGGAAAGAUGAAAAGAACUUUGAAAAGAGAGUCAAACAGUACGUGAAAUUGUCAAAGGGGAAACGCUUGAAACCAGUGCUGGUCGCGGGCAAUCAGCCGUGCGGAGCCGUCCUCGGGCGGCUGCGCGCGGUGCACUUGCCCGCGAGCAGGCCAACAUCGGUUCGGUUCGAGGUAAAAAGCCAGGUGCCGACGCCUUCGGGUUAGGGACGCUGGUUCUGCCUCGGGCCGGACCGAGGACCGCAGCGCCAUUGGAGCAUCUCGCUCUCCCGCGCUUAGGAUGUUGGCGAAAUGGUUUCAAACGACCCGUCUUGAAACACGG
rnacentral:rRNA from 1 species